UUAACAUAGGAGUUUAGGAGGACACAAUUCAGCAGGCCACAGAGGCAGAAGGUAACCUCUCUGCUCCCUCGAUGGGAGCGGCUUGUGAGUCACCAGAGCAGCCUCCCGGGGACAUGCUUAUGCAGAGAUGUCAUUCGUGAUGAGAGAAGGAAUACACAGUCCUGGAUGUUGAAGACGAGGCAAACAGGAGGACUGUCAGGAGUAUGGGCACGCCAGUGUUUGGAAGCAGCCCACACGCAUGUGUGAUGACUUCCCCUCGGCAGACAGAUCUGUGGUCAACCUCUCUCCAACUGCAGACCCGCCAGCUCAUCUGAGAGUCCGGGAUCAUUUCCGAGAAGCCCCAAGGGAAGGAAGGGGAGGCUCAUCUGCGAUCUUACCUCACCGGGAUGACUGGCAUUUUUCUCACAAGGUGCUAGCUACCCACUGACCAAGAAAUCGCCAACUCUUACGAGUAACCACUCCCAUGUUCCCUCCCGGGUUCUUGUGCACCCUCACCCACUUGCACCGGAAGAAGCAGUGCCUGGGGUCAGAGUGGACCUCGGUGGGAACCAGGCUGCUCACUUGGGUCUAGGAGUCCUGAAACAGAAUCCCUCUUUCUGUUAGAAACAGACCCUCACUGUGGAGAGCCUCGGGUUAUAGGUGAAAGCAGUCGCCUGGGUAAACAGUAUCUGGGAAAACUGCCUUUGUGGGUUGAAGCAAGGCUGCCCUGAGUGCUUUCACAUCCACAGGCAUCUGCUCUUGGCUGUCACUCUUUGUGACAAGGGUUUCCUAGCUAGGCACCCCAGUAGCUGAGGAAUUCCCCUGCGGGUCCUGCUGGGGAAGGGAGCGAGAAGGGAGAUGUGAAGCCAGUGGAGGCAAGCUGUUCCCCCUCCCUCUGCCCCCUACUCUCCCCACUCUGUCACUGACCUCCUCUGCUUUAUACGUUGGACCUCUGCAAAAAAAAAA